rnacentral:lncRNA from 2 species
GAGCUCAGUGGUCUAAAAGGACUUGACGUGUGGAAUGAAGGUCUCCUAGCCCACAAUGUAUUCAGUCCUCCCCACUACCCAGCCUCACAAGGAUACCAAUGCAGCCGUGUCAAGUGACAUUCAUUUGGAAGUCUGUGAACAAAAGAGGACAUUUGUUGUAAACUGAAGAUACAAGCAAUGAGCAAGGGAAAUCCUGCCUUCCAGGAAAAUGCACGUAGCUGAUUCCUUCCCAAUUUGUGUGAAUAUGCCAAAUGCUGCUUCUGCCAAGCCUCUUGGUGUGAUGAAUUCACAGACCCUGCAAUGGGAAAGUCAGCAGCUGUAGAGGUGGGGCUAUUCCUGGUAGGAAGGAGGCAGCUACCAUGCUUGCGCCUGCUGACCGGACUGCUGUUUCAAUAGGAACUUCCUCUCCAGGGGAGUUGGUUCAUAAUUUUCCUCUUACUACUACUGGAAGUCCUAUAAUGGCCAUAUCACAGCCUGUACCCAUUCACAACAGGAAAUUCUGACAAUCCUGUCUGACAAUCUGCAGACAAUCUUGGCACGAGAAGAGGAAAAGUCCAGUCUUGUGUGUCAGCUUCUAUAUUAGAACCAGAACAAUCAUUUUUAUGGUAUAGACCAUGUUGUCACCUUCACAAGUGAUGUUGGGCUCCAAAAAGGAAAAUGUACUCUAGUGAAGUUCAAGUGUGAUGUCUGCAAGCAAGGACCCCAGAGAAGGCAACACUUUGAGGACCCUGAACAAAAACACUGUGGUGACUCUAAAUCCAAGGAAAGGCGCUUUGAUAGUGGGAGACGGUUUCUGGUGCAUGAGUUCCUUGUACGGUAUUAUCCUACGUGUUCAGGACAGCGGGGCCCCGUGGGAACUACGGGUCCUCACAGGCAUGCUGAAGUUAGCAACUAACCACUCACAAAAUCUGAUAGGCAUCUUACAUCCUCUAGCUUGGUUUUUCUCAGACAAGCAGAGAGGCACACACCUAAAAGUGAAGUUACAUGUGUGGAUGUUUAUAUGA